AUUUUUUGUUUUCAUUUCAAGCAAGAGGUA
rnacentral:tRNA from 1 species